rnacentral:rRNA from 1 species
UACGAAGGGGGCUAGCGUUGUUCGGAAUCACUGGGCGUAAAGCGCACGUAGGCGGGUCUUUACGUCAGGGGUGAAAUCCUGGAGCUCAACUCCAGAACUGCCUUUGAUACUGAAGAUCUUGAGUUCGGGAGAGGUGAGUGGAACUGCGAGUGUAGAGGUGAAAUUCGUAGAUAUUCGCAAGAACACCAGUGGCGAAGGCGGCUCACUGGCCCGAUACUGACGCUGAGGCACGAAAGCGUGGGGAGCAAACAGG